UACGAAGGGGGCUAGCGUUGUUCGGAAUUACUGGGCGUAAAGCGCGCGUAGGUUGCGCCGCAAGUCAGGGGUGAAAUCCCAGAGCUUAACUCUGGAACUGCCUUUGAAACUGCGGUGCUGGAAUCUCAGAGGGGAUAGCGGAAUUCCAAAUGUAGGGGUGAAAUCCGUAGAUAUUUGGAGGAACACCGGUGGCGAAGGCGGCUAUCUGGAUGAGUAUUGACACUGAGGCGCGAAAGCGUGGGGAUCAAACAGG
rnacentral:rRNA from 1 species